rnacentral:rRNA from 1 species
AGAGUUUGAUCCUGGCUCAGGACGAACGCUGGCGGCGCGCCUAAUCCAUGCAAGUCGAGCGACGCAUUCCUUAGCCCGUAAGGGCGGGUUUGACGGAGCGGCGAACGGGUGCGUAACACGUGACCAAUCUGCCCCGAAGACCGGGAUAGCCCGGGGAAACCCGGAUUAAUACCGGAUGAUCUCACCACCACGCAUGUGGAGGUGAGCAAAGGCUCAGGCGCUUCGGGAUGAGGUCGCGGCCCAUCAGCUUGUUGGUGAGGUAACGGCUCACCAAGGCAAUUACGGGUAGCUGGUCUGAGAGGACGAUCAGCCACACUGGAACUGAGAUACGGUCCAGACUCCUACGGGAGGCAGCAGGAGGGAAUCUUGCGCAAUGGGCGAAAGCCUGACGCAGCGACGCCGCGUGGGGGAUGAAUGCCUUAGGGUUGUAAACCCCUUUCACGAGGGAAGAAACUGACGGUACCUCGAGAAGAAGCCCCGGCCAACUACGUGCCAGCAGCCGCGGUAAUACGUAGGGGGCGAGCGUUGUCCGGAUUUAUUGGGCGUAAAGGGCUCGUAGGCGGCUUGGCAAGUCGGCCGUGAAAACCCAGGGCUCAACUCUGGGACGCCGGUCGAUACUGCCAUGGCUAGGGUCCGGUANAGGGAAUGGAUUCCCGGUGUACCGGUGAA